UUUAUUAAACCAAUUAAUAAAAUACUAUUAUCACUUUUAUUAUUAAACCAUUUUAUAAACUAGUAAUUUUGAUUGAACCUUUUGAUCAUUUUAUAAGUACCGAAAGGGAAAAGUUACCAAUUAUUAUAGUAGAGAUACAAUCUCGUACCUUUUGCAUCAUGGGAAAACAAGAAUAAUCUUAAAAUUAAGAUACCCGAACUUUAAGUGAGCUAUUUUAUAAAUAAACCAUAAUGUUGCAAAACUAUUUGGUAAUUAUAUAAUAGAUGCGAAAUACUUACCGCACUAAAAGAUAGCUGGUUGUUCAGAAAAGAUAUAAAAGUAUCGUCUCUAUUAUAGAGAAAAAUUGAUAAAAGGAUGAGCUUUUAUCACUAUAAUGGCAAUAGAGGACUAAAAUUUUAAUAGUAGGAAUAAAAUUUUCCAUCACAAAUGUUGUUAUAAAAUAUAAAAUAAUUUAUAGAGAAUUAUGUAUGUAUUGCCUUAAUUUAUACUGAACUAUACGAACCAACUACAAUACUUUGUAUCAAUGAUGUUUUCAUGAGUAUUUCUGCUAUCAUAUAAAUCUUACAUUUUAUGAAAAAGGUAUAUAUUAAAUUAGACAAAUAAAUAUAUGUAAGGAACUCGGCAAAUAAACUACUCCGCCUGUUUAUCAAAAACAUGUCUCUUAGAAAUUAUUAAGAGUCAGGCCUGCCCAGUGAUUGCUUUUUAACGGCCGCGGUACCCUGACCGUGCAAAGGUAGCAUAAUCAUUUGCCUUUUAAUUGAAGGCUAGUAUGAAUGGUUUGACGAGAGUAAAACUGUCUCACAUAUACUUAAUAGAAAUUAAUUUAAAGGUGCAAAAGCCUUUAUCAACCAAAAAGACGAGAAGACCCUGUUGAGCUUUAAUUUAAAUUGAGUAUUAAUUAUAUAUUUAUAAAAUUUAUUUACUCACUAAAAAUUUUAAUUGGGGCGAUUAAGGAACACACAAAAGCUUCCUGACUAUUACUACAUAAUGUUCAUAAACUAAAUCGAUCCAGCAAUGCUGAUCAACAAAAUGAGUUACCACAGGGAUAACAGCAUAAUUCUUUUUGAGAGCUCAUAUCGAAAAAAGAGAUUGUGACCUCGAUGUUGGACUAGGGUAACUGGAAGGUGCAGCCGCUUUCCCGCUUGGUCUGUUCGACCAAUAAUUCCCUACAUGAUCUGAGUUCAGACCGGCGUAAGCCAGGUCAGUUUCUAUCUUUUGACUAAAUUUAUUUAGGCUAGUACGAAAGGACCGCUUAAAAUAAAAACUUUACUCUUUGUGACUAACAAAUAACUUUUAACUUAAUGAGGUUGGCAGAGUAUAUGCAGU
rnacentral:rRNA from 1 species